rnacentral:rRNA from 1 species
AUUGAACGCUGGCGGCAGGCCUAACACAUGCAAGUCGAGCGGAUGAAGGGAGCUUGCUCCUGGAUUCAGCGUCGGACGGGGGAGUAAUGCCUAUGAAUCUGCCUGGUAGUGGGGGAUAACGUCCGGAAACGGGCGCUAAUACCGCAUACGUCCUGAGGGAGAAAGUGGGGGAUCUUCGGACCUCACGCUAUCAGAUGAGCCUAGGUCGGAUUAGCUAGUUGGUGGGGUAAAGGCCUACCAAGGCGACGAUCCGUAACUGGUCUGAGAGGAUGAUCAGUCACACGGGAACUGGGACACGGACCAGACUCCUACGGGAGGCAGCAGUGGGGAAUAUUGGACAAAGGGCGGAAGUCUGAUACAGUCAUGCCGCGUGUGUGAAGACGGUCUUCGGAUUGUGAAGCACUUUUAGUUGGGAGGAAGGGCAGUAAGUUAAUACCUUGCUGUUUUGACGUUACCAACAGAAUAAGCACCGGCUAACUUCGUG